rnacentral:misc_RNA from 1 species
GAGUGUGUAGCGAUAGACGAAGGAAGGUAGGAGACAAGAUAAGCAAAAAAAGUCAGUCAUUAUGUUGACUGUUUUAGAAAUAUAGUGAAACAGAACAGAAACGUUGACGAUAGUUAUUUGUAAAUUGAGAAAGAUAAGAUAUUAAUUCGUAAAGUUAGGUAGAGAGAGAGAGAGAGAGUGUUUGGUAGUUUGGAGAUAGAGUGAGAGGAGCGUUAAAAAGAAAGAGAGAGAGUGUUUAGUACAGAAGUGGGCUAAAAAAAUAUUGUGGAGAGAGUGAAAUAAACUACUUAGUAAUUAGAGUUUGAGUAAGAGGGGUGUUAAUCAGAGAGAGAAAAUUGCUUUGUAAUUAAGAGUUGUGUUAAAGAAGAGAGAGGGGGAGAGAACUGCACACACACAUAUACACACACGCGCGCACAGAGAUAGUGUGAGAGAAAAAAGUGGUGUGAAAAAAGGAAUAGCGAAGGUAGUGGUAUUUAAAGGAAGACAGAAAGAAAGAAGUAAGAGAGGAAGUUGACGAAUAACAACCAACAGCAGCAGCAAUAAUAAUAAGGCAUGUGAAAUGAAAGAGGAGAGAGAGGGUUAUAGAAGAAGAAGAAGAAAGAAUAAUUAGAGAAGAAACGAGAGCGAGAAGGAGUGAUGCUGCCAGAUGAACAACUGUUUUGGCUUUAGAGACAAAUGAGAACAAGUUAAACAAACUCUUUGAGUUAAUUUAUUGUUGUUCUUCCCCAUCUGGUUGACAUUACAGUUCAACUUCACUCACAUCUGAUGAUAAUGAGUUUAAUUAAUUCAUCAGAAGAAUUGUUUACUUCUGAAACUUAAUAUUUAAUCAACUUGAUAUUAGUUAUAAUUACAGUAAUUAACAUUUUUAUUAUUCUCUGAGUAAUUUUUUUUUAUUUAGAAAUCUAACUUUUAUUGCCAACUGUCUGUUUUCUUUAUAUCUUUCUCCCGUUUGUGUUGUAAUUAAUUGUGCUGUGACUUUGGGAGAUUUAAAAAAAAAGAUAAGGAAAACUGGACACUCUUUAACUUAUUACCAUGUCGCCCGACAACAGCAUACAAGCUUCCAAACCUGUGGUAAAAGAGACAAAAACCAUGAUGAUACAUACAGUAUCUUUACAAGAAAGAUUUGCCGACUAUAUUUCACAAGAACGAAUGACAAAUGGCUGGGAAAAGAUGGAAACUUCCAAUCGCAUCCCCUACUAUCUCAGUUGUAUGACAGAGCGUACAUCCUGGGACCAUCCACUUUAUUCCAAAAUCAUGGAAGAAUUAAGUGAGUUUAAUAAUAUUCGAUUUGCUGCCUACCGAACUGCAAUGAAGUUACGAUACCUGCAGCAGAAACUGAAUUUGGACUUGGUGCCUAUCGACAAAGUUCGCAGUGUCUUCAAACAGCAUGGAUGUCCACAAGGUGAAGACCCCUUACUGAACUGCCAUGACCUCAAUGAAAUUCUACGAGACCUUUUUGCUGACUGCCAACAUCCAAGAUUAGACAAAACCACAAAUAUACGCUCAUCCGAUCUCAUUCAGAAUUUCAUAUUAAAUUUAUACGACAGACAAAGAAGAGGUGUAGUCCAUGCUCUGUCUGUGAAAACUGCUCUUGCAGCGAUGUGUGGUGGACAGCUUGGCGAGAAGUACAAAUAUUUUUAUGAAGAAAUCAGUGAUCCGAGCACCUUUAUUGACUGCAGUGUGCUGUCCAGUUUUCUUGUGGCUCUCAUGCGGAUUCCUGAUUUAAUUCAUGAAGGAAUGGCAUAUGGCGGUUUAAACUCAACUCCUGCUUUAGAAAGUUGUCUUCAAAUGAGUGAUUGUAAAUAUGGUAUUUCUGAAGACAUGUUCUAUGCCUGGCUUUACAAAGAACCCCAAACAUUGGUCUGGUUACCAACCCUUCACAGAAUUGUCACUACAGAAUCUGUUAAACAUGAAGUCAAAUGUAGCAUCUGCAAAGAUUUCCCAAUCAUUGGAUUCCGCUAUCGGUGCCUUAAGUGUUUCAAAUUCGACAUAUGCCAACAAUGUUUCUUCAACGGUAAAACUAAAGGCAAACACAAACUCAAGCAUCCUCUGAAGGAAUUUUGUGCUGUUGCCAGCACCAAACAAGAUAUGAAAGCAUUCCUAAUUACUGUGAGAAACAACUUGAGUAAAAAACACAGGUACAAACGUCGAGUAAAAUACCUACCUGUAGAUAAUUGCAACAGCAGUAUUGGAGGUGGCAGCGACACAAUGUCGACUGCAUCAACUCGGAGGUCUACAAUGUACGAAGAACAGGUUUCUCGGCUUACCACAAGUCAUGCAUCUGAUAGUGCUUCCAGUGCUCCAGCUAGGCUUUGUGAAAUGGAACAUCCAACCAGAGCAAAGCAAACAUGUUCAAAAUCUUUACAAACUGAUAAUCUGAUGGUAUCAGUCAGUGUCCACAACAAGGAAAACCGUACACCAUCUCCAACAGAAACGGUAGCUUUGCAACAAGUACAGGAACUCCAGAAGAUUAUUCGAGAUUUGGAGUCUGAAAAUCGAAAUCUCUAUCGGCAGUUGGCUGAAAUUCGAGACAAUGGAACAGACAGCUGCAGUAGCUUGUCAUAUGGAGAUGACAUUGAAAUGGAGAAAGAAUUGGUCGAAGCGAAAAAGGAAGUUGUGGACGACCAUAAUCUGAGGCUGAAUAAGCAGCUGAAUCGAGUUCACGUCAUGCUGAAGAAUAAUGCAGCAACUGAAAAAUACCAAAAUCCAGUGGUAACAAAUGGAACUAACCACAAUAAUUCACCUUUAAAAAAUGGUUACCACUUAAAGAAUGGUUAUAAUUUUCCUAAUGGAUUCCAUAUUCCACAGAAUGGUUUUAAACCACAAACAAUUCCUCCAUUUACAAAUGGUUACAAGUCAUAUAAUGGCCUGCAAACCCAAAAUGGUUAUAAACUACCAAAUGGUUUCCUUCACCAAACUAAUCCUCAAAAUGGAUUUCCAAUUCAGAAUGGUUUCCAAACCUCCAAUAAUUACCAGUUCCAUAAUGACCAUUCUUCACAAGGUGGCUUCAGUUUACAGAAUGGGUCAGAGCUUCCUGCACUUCUUAAAGAACCACCACCUUAUUCUAAUAUGACCAGCGUACCUGAAAUAGACAUUAAUUUUGACCAAUCCACUCUUGACUCGACUCAUAAGUUUGAUGUUUCUUCACCAUGUUCUUCAAUUAUUUCUCCAAGUGAGGCAGAAGAGGAAAUGGACAAAUUGGUGAAAAAAUUGAGAGCAUUUCCACAGAAUCAUUCUUACUCAGCUUGUUCAAUGUCAGAAUUUACAAGAACAAAUGAAGACCUGUUUCAAACAGUUGAUGGAGUAAACACAGCCAUGACCAAUUUAAUCAACCGUGUUGCACCACCCCAGGCAGCAAUAUAAAAAGAAAACUUCCAUCGUGAGAUGCAGGAUAAAGCAGUCGGAGAAUGGAGGAGAGGAAAUCAUCGAAGCUGUUGGAAUUUCUUUUAAUACUUUGUUUUCUAAAUGGAUUUCUUUAUGAUUGAAUCAGUUCCAAUUAUUCUGUGUUGUCUGCUAUGUUCUCAUUAUUGUAAAGAGGGUGGCAAGCUGGCAAAAUCGUUUGCACAUCAGACAAAAUUCUUUGUGGCAUUUUAAAUCCCACUGAGGCCAACUUUGCUUGUCAUCCUUUCAGAUUCUAUGAAAAAGGUACAAAAAAAGUACCAGUUAAGUACUGGGCUUGGUGUACUUGACUUGCCCCUCCCCUCAAAAAUUACUAGCCUUGUGCCAGUUGAUAAGUGCAUCUUAUAAUUAUUGUACAUUCAAGUUUUUAUUAAACACCAAUUGUACACCCAAAAGAAAAAGAUUAUUUAACAAACAGCCCUGAAACCCUUAAUUCAGGUAAAUCAGUGGAUAACAGCUGUUCACAUAUUUUUAAAAACAUAAAUUGUAGCCUAAAAGUUUCAUUUCAACACAAAAUCUCUCUUUUCCAAUCUAACCUUGAUUUGCUCAGUGAAUUCUAUUCAUAAAAUGGUUUUUUGUUGUUUUUUAUCUGGUUAGACAAUCAACCAAUCAGUUUAGAUUAUUUGUUGUUGAUGUGGUCACAUGACUAGUUAAAGCCCUUCCUUUGGCAUCUCUAUGAAAGAGAUUUGUCUCCAUUGUCAGAUUUCAGUAAGCAAGAAUGAGCAUUGAAGAAGUCUCUCUUUUUGACACAUCUUAGACACAUGAACAUUUUGUAAAUUCACACCAAAAUCUCAACAGUUUCAUUCUUUCAAUUGUAAGCAUUUCAUUACAAUAUUGUUUUAUGUUUUUGCAUCUUUCAGACACAUUUUAAGAACCAUUUUGUACAAGAUUUUCUGAAAGGAAUCUUUUCGCAUAUGUUUGGAUUAACAGGUCAAUCAUUUAUAUGUUCAUCAGCAGAUUAGAUAUUGGUAGAUUAGAGAUGGUCCAAGUCAAUGGAUUACCAAAUAAUUGGGAGGUUGACAGUUUAUAUUCUUUCAGGAUUAAGAGAGAGAGAUUUAACUCUCAGACAGCAAAGUCCACCUGGCCAUGAAUAGGUAUCACAAUUAAUAACAAGUUCUAAAGAGCCCUGUCAAAUGAACAGGUGCUCCUUUUUAGCUUCAACAGCGUUGAGGUAAAUCCUGCUGUGAGUCCAGCCAAACAAGGGGGCUGUCUUCAUAACUAAAUAGGUUACAGGACUUUCCAUUUUUGUAGACUAAUGUCAAGGCUGGUUAAAUUAAUGUCUCAGUAGAGAUAGUAGUUAGAAGUUUAAUAAUUCGUGACCAGUACAGGUGGCCUACACCAUCUGUAAACAAUUACAAGGAACUUCAGUUACUACUAAAAACAAAAUGUGGGAGCACUGUAUAUUUCAUGAGUGUUUCAUUUGCUUUCAAUUGUUAGUUCUUAUCUCCUCUUGUUUAUAACUUAGAAAGGUCUGAGUUCUGUAAAACUAAUGGCCCCCUUGAAUACAGGAUGAUGACAUCUUCCCUGGCAUCCAAUCAACCAAUAAGACUUGACCACAAGAUCUAUAAUCAAUAUCUAUAUUUUCUGAUGGGAUGUUUGUACUGUCAAAUCAAACCCUUUUGUUGGCCCUUUUUCCUUUUCUUUUCUAUUUCCAGAAUCCACCGGGUUUGUUUUCGUCAAGUAGUCUGGUUAGGUUUUAACUUCCAAAUUUAUAUUUGAAAAGUCAUCAAUGAAAAUGCCUCUGUAUUCAAAUACCAUUCCAGUCUAUUUGUUUACGUGUGAGGCCCAAUAAAGCAGGCUACAACCAUUUCUUCUUAUUUGUGGCUGAAAGACAAAAAGUUAUUUUCAGAUUCACUUCAAAAGUGAACAAAGGAAGAUUUCCUUAUUUUAAUUUCCUUUGUUGUUUUGACUCCAGUCAACUCUGAUUGGACUCUCAUGAAAGCCAUUCCACUUACAUCCAUCUCAUCCUUCUCUCAGGUUUUGCACAUCUACAUUAUCUCUGUCACUUUCUUUUUCAAGAUUUUAGCAUAUAUUUUGCGAGAAAGUUGGCUAUUAUUUUUAGUAGGUUGAAAUGGCUGUUAGUUUGACUUGAUUUCAUUCUACAGAGUCUAACAAAGAAACUUGAUGGUUUUUAAAUAAAUGUACAGAGCUUGUUUAUAAACCGUUUAAGACAGAGCUUUUAUUUCGUUUUGAAAAUGUCAUUCAAAUGCUUUCCUUUGUUUCGCACACAUGCUUCUAGCCUGACCUGGAACUUUUGCAUUUUGCAUCAAGCCAUGUUCUUUGGAAAUGGCAGCUUUCAGUUCCAUCAAGUGUGAACAGUUUGUUGAUGGACAUCGUCUUGUAGGAAUAGCUGCAAAUAAUCCCAAACCAAAAGAUUAGGCAGUUGAGCCAGCCAUGGCACCUCAUUGCACUGACAACAUUCCUGUAAUAAUGUACAUGGAAGCUUUGUGUGGGUGGUCACUGACUUACCUGCCCACCCUUCUCUCAGUAUGUUGUGUAUUAAUGCCAAGUCUGUUCAGUUCUAGAAGGAAGACACCUAACAUGGAAUUACCACAUGGAAGUUUACUAUGCAACACCACACACUUCAUAUUAACAAUUAAGGAAUUCUCACAAAACUGUGGAUUGUUGUCUGACUUGGCACAAGUUUUGCCAAUUUCUAUAACUAGACACAGAAAUGCACUUUGUCAACGCUUGCCAUCUAUUGUCUGCUUUUUCUGGUUUUCCCAAUCUUACUAUUUUAUUUCUUGCAACAGACAUAUUCUUAUCAGGACAAACAUUUUAAUGAAUGUGCAAUAAAUUUCACACAACAUUCUGAAAGACUUAACAAUGCCAUGCUUUGAUGCAGAACUAUAACGACUUAUUCAUUACGGCCCAUUUAAUGGCCUUGCUAUUCCUUAGGGUCAGGCAAUGCUCAAUUGGUCAACCUAAACUUUUCUCCUCAUAAUGACAUCAAAUUUCAACUGACCAUUUUUCCAUGAGAUCCUACAUCAAAAAUACAAACAGAAUUUUCGCUGUGUUUAAGUAACCAAGUUACCACAUAAUAAAAAUUUAAAAACCCGUCAUCACAAAAUCACAAUGGUGCACAUUCCACUGCAUCACAGCUACUGAAAUAUCAUCCUGCCUUUGUGUUGCUCAGCAUCAUCAACUAUGUGACCACCCCGUCCUCUUAAAAACCUUCAUCUUUCCAUGCCAGACUCUCUACAAAUGUGUCUAAGGUUAAUCUAUUCACAAAUAUUCUAAUAAAUGGUUAAAUGCGUCCCAGUUGUUACCACUGAUUUACAAACUCCAAAGUAAGCAGGGUUUAGUUUCAAUCCUUGGUGAUUACAAUAAAUAGUCCAGGGGUGUUUGAAAUUCAUGUUAUUUAGCCCUUGGUCAGCAAUGGUUAAAUAAACCUAUGAUCAAUGGUGUUUCAGCUAUGACCAUCCUGCCUUUUAUGCAAAUAGUAUAUCCAGGACUUCAUUAUUAUCUAAUUUUUAAUGACAGUAAGUAGUGAUUUGAGGGAAGCCUGGCUGCUAUUUCUAGCAGGCCAAGCAACCCAGGUGGGGACUCCUGUUAAAAAUGGUUGUGAAUGUCAAAUGUUUUGUUGUUGUUUUUUUUUUUUGGCCCCUUUUGUGAUUUUUUGUAAAACAUUACUUUGUUGAACUGGUUUGCUCUUAACUGUGAGUAUUUUUAUUUUAUUCAAUUUAUUUGUGAAAUAAGUGAGAGUAUCAUAACAUUCGUUUGAUAUUAUUGUGUGGUGUCCAGGCAAUUGCCACAGUCCACUGGAUUCUGCACUAAUUAAAAACAUUAGCCAUCAGGAAGAUCUUCAGCUUGCUCACCCUGUGUUGGCAUCAUCAUCAUCACAGUGCCGCUCAAAACAAUUUAGAAUGGACAAACUUCAUUUCCGUCAAUUAUCUUUCGAACAGAAGCCAUUAAACUUGAACCACCAAAGACACCGUAACCACAUUUUCAAUUCUAAUCUGUGAUGGUUAAAACAUUUCACAUCCAAAUAUCUCAUUGACUUAAACACCCAGUAAGUCUAUGAUGCUCCCACUUAUUUCCACCACAAAUAACUGCUUUUUAUGUCGUGUUUAAAAUUUGUUGCUGCCAUGUUUAAACCUGUUAAUCAUUGUUUUUCUCACUUUUAUUCAGCUCCCUAAUUAACAAUUAUUAAUGAAUGCCUAACUUUACCUUCCAUAUUACUAAUUACUUCAGAAAAUACCAAAUUUCACAGUUCCGGUGAGAGAACUAAAAAUCGCACUUCUUGUAUCUUCUCCAUUAUAAUUCAUGUUUCUUAAGAUCUAAUUUGUUGCUCGUUAACUCUUGCCAUAAGUUUUAACAUUGCUGAUAUCUCACCUUAGUUUUAUAUUUUACCUGAUAUUUCAACAGCCGACAUGGUUUACCAUAUCCAAACUUUGCAGUUUAUUGAAAUGUGGGGCCAAUUGAGAAAGUAUUGAUACAUUUUUAUAACUUUUUAUUACUUGAGACUAACCUAAAUCACUAAAACUCAUUAACUAUAUUUCCUGAGUAAACUGGGUUUUUUUUAAACUCCUCAUCAAAAACAGGAGAAUCGCUCUGACUAUUUUUCUGCAAAAGAAAAAAAAAAUAUUGUUUGCUCUGAAAUUUAAUUUUUAAAUCUUUAUUUAUUGUUUCUUCUGUUAUAUUAAUUUAUUCACUAAUGACUUGGAAAAAUUAACAUAAUUUUCUUUUAUGUAGAUUUAGAAAUUACUUUAGAACCAAGUCCUUCUCUCUCACUGUUUUCCUUUGUCAGCCAAGUACUGCCUUAGAAUUUGCCAUUGUUCACACAGUGCCUAUAUAUGUUGAUAGAAAUUUGUUGGCCUUCAUUUUACACACACAGUCGAUAGCUGUUGACAAACAUUAAAAUUUGACUUUGUCAUGCAAUUUCUGUAAACCAGAGAAUUUUUUUAAACAGGAAAAUAGCUUUUAUCUUUGCCUGACUUCAAGUUCAGAACGAAGACUGAUUGAUGAGAGGAAAUCACUAACAAAGGGACCAAUUCUCAUUUAAUAUCUUCUAUCAUUGUGCCUUUUUCUCUCUUUUUUUUUUUUUUUAAUAUUUUAAAAUAUUACCAUGACAUGAAAAGGUCCAAAUUCCGUUUCCCUUUGCUGCUUGCAAUGGAACCUAUGACUAUUUAUUGCUGCUUUUUAUUAACCAAGAAUGAGUUUGUAUCAAUUUAUAUUAUUUUGCCCUCAUUAUUUCUUUUUAAACUAAUAACAACACAACUUGGCUUUUUAGCCAUAUAACUAACCAAGAGGCCAGCAAUUCGUGUUGUCUCUGAUAUUGCAUUGUAUCUGGACCAAUCUGUUGUAGAGAGAUGUAAAUAGGUAGGAGCACUGUAUAAUUGACAAGUGUUUCAAUAGCUUUUUAGCUAAGUUCAACUCUAAUAGUUUGGGUCCCAUUGGUCUAGAAAUCAGUGAAACUGAUCACUCCUAGAUGGAUACUUCUGGUCAUCUGUCCAUUUUCUCUGCCCACUUUUUCCUGGGAGAGCGAUGGUGGUAGAGUCCUCAGGUGCCUCCUCCCGUCGUUAAACUUUCCGGUUGAUUCCCAAGCAUAACCGAGAUUAUGGAUAUUAUCCAGCCAUCUCAUUCUUGGUCGACCCCUAAGUCUCCUCCUCCCAGUUGGCUUGGCUUCAAGAAUCCACCAUGUGAUUCUUUCCUCAGACAUUCUAACCACACAUGCCCACUGUACCAGAAGUUGUCACCUUCUCAACCUUGAAAAGUUGACUGAAUGUGAUUUGCUUCUCUUUAACCAUAGAUGUCUCCUAGAAUCAGUUUUGCAUUCUUUAUUAUCAUUAAUCUGUCAUUUUUGUCAUAUUCUGAUUAAGAAAAUAAGUUUUCACUGAAAUAAUUUGACUUCUAAAAGAACAAGAUGAACAUUUUUUUUAUUGGCAUAAUUAAUGUUCUUCUGAUUAACAAAACAGUUAAUCCCUGUUUCUUGAGGUUAAUGAAGUCAGUGUUGUCUCUCCUCCUUAAAUUAGUUCCCUGUAUCCAUUCCUACAACACACAAGCCGAAUGUCCCUCUACAGCUCCCUUACUUAACCAAAUAAACCGAACCCCCCCCCCCUCCACUGUAAUUCUCUGUAUCCAUUCAUAAUUAAGAUUCCCAAACUCAGGUGAUUCAAAGUCAACCUACGCUUUGCAGUGGAUUUCCCCAAGUGAGGUGACCAGGCUGGUUUUGAAUCACUUUUGUUUUCUAAGUCGAAUUAGAAACCAAACUAAUUGCCGUUGCAUUUAGCUUUCUGAAAGGUGAAAUUUUCGAAAGUUUAACAUUUGUUUUUUUCUUUUUUAUUAACCAUUUAAAAAAAAAACUUUAAUAAUAAUUCUCUCUUUUAAAGUGAAAAUUAAUCAGGUAUUUCAGAUAACUGUAGAUUAAAAAUAGCAAUGGCAUUAGAACGAAACUGUAAAAUCCACUUGGGAGGAAGUUUCUUUUAGUGGCAGACGAAAGUAAGAAAAUUUUCAUUGCUGGGAUAGAGUUGUUAGGGGUUCAAAUAGCACUCCCAUCAUUUCAGUGUUGGUAAACAUAAGCAGCAUUAUAUGGGAGGAGGGGUUGAUUGCUCAAGGCGGAAGUAAAGGUAUUGAGUACAUUCUGUCCCCAGCCAUUGUGUGUGUGUGAUGUAUAUGAUGUUAGCACGAGUCCAGUGGUCUGUCUUUACAGAUGAUUGGAUGCUAUUCUACGGACAAAAACUUUCCCAAACCCCAUUGACAACAUGUUUUGGGAACAGUUAUAGAUUUAGGGGUUGGCUAAGCUAAAUUGAUUUGCUUUACUCAGCUGUUUUAAAAGAAUGGAGUUUAGAAUUGUGGCAGGUCUGGGUAGGAAUUACAUGAAGGGGACGAUAUAGAGACAAAAAUGAAGAGAAUUUAGUUUUAAUAUAAAGUAACUAAUCUUUGUCAUUAACUUGAAACACAAACAGUAAUUAUAGAAUUUUUGGGGGCCAUGGUUAAAUUCUGAACAUAAUACAAAAGUUAUUGGAUGGAGAGGAGGAAAUGUGUGGAUUUUUCAUUUUAAUACAAGUGGCUUUAUUUGAGAAUUACACAAAGAUUAUGGGUCACCAUUGGUUGGAUUUCAUAUGCAACCAAUGACAACUGAAAAACUGGGAUGCGUUCUGUUACUUGUCCAGAUACACUAUUUGGCCAUGUUGCUCAUCACUGGGGAUCUGGUUUGUGUUGGUCAACCACAUGCUCAUGGCAGGUGAGGGAACUGGAGAUGGGACUCUGGUUGAUGGGUCACUUGGGUGGACCCAGGAAUAAACCAACAAAUGAUGAAUGGCAACAGUGCAUGUCAUGACUUGAGUGAAAGUUUCAGACUUUAAUAACAAUAAUUUCUUGUACAGUUUGUAAAAUAUUUUGGAUGGGUCUGAUUAAUUUUCUAUAAAAAAUGUAGAAGAGGAAACUGCAUGUGUGUGAUAACAAGCUUUAAUCUUCUUUAAUACAAAGCAGGUCUUGUUUGAUUUGAUGUGGUAUUUAAAUUAGCCAACAGAAACAGUGAAAUAAUCUCAUAUUUAAUUUUUAAUCCAACUGACCUGAACGUUGCAUUUUUUUGGUAACUCCAAGAAUCAGAGCUGAAGCUUCAAACUGUCUUCAUUCAUUUAUCUGGUGCUAUAUCAUCAUCAUCAUUUCAUGUAUCAAGUUUUUCCAUGCAGGCAUGGAUUAAACAGGCUGGGUGAUCUUUUUUUAUCACCAAUCACUUCGCAGUGUAGGCUGGGUGUAUUAUUUUAUUGACUCAACAGCAGUAUUAGACUAGUGAGUUUCGUUCUACCCAGGACUAGAGUCUCUCCCCCCUCCUCUAUCAUGUGUGAGUAUUUAUUCAGAGUUACUACUUCAAGCUCCCUUCACAUCUGCAAGCAAUUAGAAUUGCAUCCUUCUCGCUAACCGUUGGGUUUGUUCAGAGAGCACAACUUUGUAGAUGUGUCACUUCACUACAUCUGAUAACAUAUGUUUCUCUGUAAUGUAAAGGAAGGAAGGAGUUUUGCUAGCAAGGGAGAGUUCACAGUGUCAGUCUAAGAAUGCUGAGAUUAAUGUUUGUUUCCAACAACGUAGAGGGUGGGUGCUUAGUUACCAAGGGGGGCCCACAAUAGUUGUGUUAAGGUGGAUGGGCAUUAAAGACUCUAUGGCUUUUGACAACCUAAUUUAUCAUAUUGGAGAGAAAGUAGGCGGGCAGAAAUACCAACCAGACGCUGUACAUAAAUUUCAAUCAUUUUUAUAUCAUAAACAUUGAUGUUUGUUUUUUAUAGAUGUGAGCGUGACAGGAAUUCUCACAAAUGAUUAACAGAUAAACCUGGGCAGUAAAAAUGGCAUGAGCCGACUGCUUCGAGAGUUUGGUUCUCAUAGCUCAUCGCUGUGGCCCAAAACAUUUCUUACGGAUUCACCUCAUUUAGCUUUAAAUAAGAAAUACAAACACUGAAGAAUUGGUGAGGGUUUCCUUAUCUUGCAUGUUUAACUAUAUCCAAUGAUACUGAGUUCAAAUCCCACCAAGGGUUGUCUUUAUCUUACAUCCUUAUAACACUCAGUCAAAUACCAGGACUGUUUCUCUCUUGGAAUCCAUUUAAUUGAAGGCAUCAAAAAUGGAAUAUUCACUGUGAACUCACUCAAAUUGGCCAAAAAGCAAUCAGCAAAAACUCACCUUGUGCAUCUUUUUGGGGAAGUCACUUGGCUAUAAAUAAAGUCUAUAAAAUAAUUGAGGAAUCAUCUAGGCUUACUACCAUUAUUUAAAUAAGCACCAUUUACAGAUACAAUCAGUGGAUUCUUACUUUCUUUGAGGAUCUUUAAAUAAGAAGAAAUAUUGAUGAUAAUUAUUUCAUGAAAGUAUUUGAAAAAAAAAAAAGGUAACUUGUUAGAAAUGGAAAUGGUUUUUAGUUUAAUCUGUUUUGAUUCUUGAAGAAAGUGUGUGAAAAUUAAGCAGAUAUGUGCAUUUUUAGCAAAUUUAACGUGUAUAUAACUUUGUUUUUGUUUUGUUUUUAUUUCUUACUCCUCUCUUUCAUAUUACUGCUGCUUAUUUUAUCAAUCCCAAUGGAAUGCUAAGUCAACAAGAUUUAAAAUUGAGGAAUUUACUGCACUAACACUUAGCUAGCCACAACCAUUCUCUGUAGACAAUUAUUUAUUUGGAUGCGUAUGUUUUUGUUUCAAUUCUGAUGAUUUAAUUAAAAAGGGUAAAUAAUGGCAUUCAAACAAUGUCAUAGAUACUACAUUUUUCCAACAGAGAAAUAAUAUCCCCCCCUUCUACACACCAUAUAUAUAUACACACACACACACACACACACUUGUAUAUAUUUGACUUUCUUUUGUAUAUUUAACAUUUGUAUAUAGAUGACUACAAAUCCGUUUGAUUAUAUUGCUUUUUUUAAAACAAUUUGUUAUAAAAAAAUAUUUUAAAAUGUUUUUUAUGUUAAUCUGAUAUUAUGUAGUUUUUUUUUCUUUGCCCUGUUAAUUGCAUUUUAUGGCUUCAUUAAACAUUUUGUUCUAUCAAAUGUAUCCAUGGUACCAUUAGCCAGCUCAAAGCUGUUUUUGUAUUUGUAGCCAUUUUACUAUUGAUAGCUUCUUAAAAAUCUUCAUCGUGCUUUUAUUGCCAUUAUUAGAGCAGAAAGAUGGUAGAAAUUGGAGAAAAGUCAGCUUAAAUACCUUUGAGGUGUUUAGUUUUAUCUCUCUAUAUUUUAUCUUCAAUUCCUACAAAAGGCGACUUUACUGUUCGUCCUGGUGGCUGUUGAUUUAAGUUCCAAUAAAUAAAAAUCAAUUAAAUCAACAACACCCGCCUCUGCCUAUGUUAAAUAUCAUCAUUAUUAUUUUCUGAAUAAAAACUAUUUCUCUAUAACAUUGACAA